rnacentral:rRNA from 1 species
GACGAACGCUGGCGGCGUGCCUAAUACAUGCAAGUCGAGCGAAGUUUUUCUGGUGCUUGCACUAGAAAAACUUAGCGGCGAACGGGUGAGUAACACGUAAAGAACCUGCCUUAUAGACUGGGACAACUAUUGGAAACGAUAGCUAAUACCGGAUAACAGCAUUAACUGCAUGGUUGAUGUUUGAAAGUUGGUUUUGCUAACACUAUGAGAUGGCUUUGCGGUGCAUUAGCUAGUUGGUGGGGUAAAGGCCUACCAAGGCGACGAUGCAUAGCCGACCUGAGAGGGUGAUCGGCCACACUGGGACUGAGACACGGCCCAGACUCCUACGGGAGGCAGCAGUAGGGAAUCUUCCGCAAUGGGCGAAAGCCUGACGGAGCAACGCCGCGUGAGUGAAGAAGGAUUUCGGUUCGUAAAGCUCUGUUGUUAGGGAAGAAUGA